rnacentral:rRNA from 1 species
UACGUAGGGUGCGAGCGUUGUCCGGAAUUAUUGGGCGUAAAGGGCUCGUAGGCGGUUUGUCGCGUCGAAUGUGAAAACCCGGGGCUCAACUCCGGGCCUGCAUUCGAUACGGGCAGACUAGAGUUCGGUAGGGGAGACUGGAAUUCCUGGUGUAGCGGUGAAAUGCGCAGAUAUCAGGAAGAACACCCGUGGCGAAGGCGGCUCUCUGGGACGGUACUGACGCUGAGACGCGAAAGCGUGGGGAGCGAACAGG